GUACGUACAAGCAGUGGGAGCCCCACCACCAAAGCAUUUGCUGUACCGCGUUGACGGACCGAUAGUGAACCAGUACCGUGAGGGAAAGGCGAAAAGAGACCCGCAGGGCGAGGGGAGUGAAAAAGAACCUGAAACCGUGUACGUACAAGCAGUGGGAGCACAGGUUUACCUGUGUGACUGCGUACCUUUUGUAUAAUGGGUCAGCGACUUAUAUUCUGUAGCAAGGUUAACCGAAUAGGGGAGCCGGAGGGAAACCGAGUCUUAACCGGGCGUUAAGUUGCAGGGUAUAGACCCGAAACCCGGUGAUCUAGCCAUGGGCAGGUUGAAGGUUGGGUAACACUAACUGGAGGACCGAACCGACUAAUGUUGAAAAAUUAGCGGAUGACCUGUGGCUGGGGGUGAAAGGCCAAUCAAACCGGGAGAUAGCUGGUUCUCCCCGAAAGCUAUUUAGGUAGCGCCUCGUGAAUUCAUCUCCGGGGGUAGAGCACUGUUUCGGCUAGGGGGCCAUCCCGGCUUACCAACCCGAUGCAAACUGCGAAUACCGGAGAAUGUUAUCACGGGAGACACACGGCGGGUGCUAACGUCCGUCGUGAAGAGGGAAACAACCCAGACCGCCAGCUAAGGUCCCAAAGUCAUGGUUAAGUGGGAAACGAUGUGGGAAGGCCCAGACAGCCAGGAUGUUGGCUUAGAAGCAGCCAUCAUUUAAAGAAAGCGUAAUAGCUCACUGGUCGAGUCGGCCUGCGCGGAAGAUGUAACGGGGCUAAACCAUGCACCGAAGCUGCGGCAGCGACACUGUGUGUUGUUGGGUAGGGGAGCGUUCUGUAAGCCUGUGAAGGUGUGUCGUGAGGCAUGCUGGAGGUAUCAGAAGUGCGAAUGCUGACAUAAGUAACGAUAAAGCGGGUGAAAAGCCCGCUCGCCGGAAGACCAAGGGUUCCUGUCCAACGUUAAUCGGGGCAGGGUGAGUCGACCCCUAAGGCGAGGCCGAAAGGCGUAGUCGAUGGGAAACGGGUUAAUAUUCCCGUACUUGGUGUUACUGCGAAGGGGGGACGGAGAAGGCUAUGUUGGCCGGGCGACGGUUGUCCCGGUUUAAGCGUGUAGGUGUGUGUUCCAGGUAAAUCCGGUUCACUUUAACACUGAGGCGUGACGACGAGGCACUACGGUGCUGAAGCAACAAAUGCCCUGCUUCCAGGAAAAGCCUCUAAGCAUCAGGUAACAUCAAAUCGUACCCCAAACCGACACAGGUGGUCAGGUAGAGAAUACCAAGGCGCUUGAGAGAACUCGGGUGAAGGAACUAGGCAAAAUGGUGCCGUAACUUCGGGAGAAGGCACGCUGACACGUAGGUGAAGUGAUUUACUCAUGGAGCUGAAGUCAGUCGAAGAUACCAGCUGGCUGCAACUGUUUAUUAAAAACACAGCACUGUGCAAACACGAAAGUGGACGUAUACGGUGUGACGCCUGCCCGGUGCCGGAAGGUUAAUUGAUGGGGUCAGCGCAAGCGAAGCUCCUGAUCGAAGCCCCGGUAAACGGCGGCCGUAACUAUAACGGUCCUAAGGUAGCGAAAUUCCUUGUCGGGUAAGUUCCGACCUGCACGAAUGGCGUAAUGAUGGCCAGGCUGUCUCCACCCGAGACUCAGUGAAAUUGAACUCGCUGUGAAGAUGCAGUGUACCCGCGGCAAGACGGAAAGACCCCGUGAACCUUUACUAUAGCUUGACACUGAACAUUGAGCCUUGAUGUGUAGGAUAGGUGGGAGGCUUUGAAGUGUGGACGCCAGUCUGCAUGGAGCCGACCUUGAAAUACCACCCUUUAAUGUUUGAUGUUCUAACGUGGACCCGUUACCCGGGUUGCGGACAGUGUCUGGUGGGUAGUUUGACUGGGGCGGUCUCCUCCUAAAGAGUAACGGAGGAGCACGAAGGUUGGCUAAUCCUGGUCGGACAUCAGGAGGUUAGUGCAAUGGCAUAAGCCAGCUUGACUGCGAGCGUGACGGCGCGAGCAGGUGCGAAAGCAGGUCAUAGUGAUCCGGUGGUUCUGAAUGGAAGGGCCAUCGCUCAACGGAUAAAAGGUACUCCGGGGAUAACAGGCUGAUACCGCCCAAGAGUUCAUAUCGACGGCGGUGUUUGGCACCUCGAUGUCGGCUCAUCACAUCCUGGGGCUGAAGUAGGUCCCAAGGGUAUGGCUGUUCGCCAUUUAAAGUGGUACGCGAGCUGGGUUUAGAACGUCGUGAGACAGUUCGGUCCCUAUCUGCCGUGGGCGCUGGAGAACUGAGGGGGGCUGCUCCUAGUACGAGAGGACCGGAGUGGACGCAUCACUGGUGUUCGGGUUGUCAUGCCAAUGGCACUGCCCGGUAGCUAAAUGCGGAAGAGAUAAGUGCUGAAAGCAUCUAAGCACGAAACUUGCCCCGAGAUGAGUUCUCCCUGAGACUUAGAGUCUCCUGAAGGAACGUUGAAGACGACGACGUUGAUAGGCCGGGUGUGUAAGCGCAGCGAUGCGUUGAGCUAACCGGUACUAAUGAACCGUGAGGCUUAACCUUACAACGCCGAAG
rnacentral:rRNA from 2 species